UCUCUGCUCUGACCUUGUUUGCCC
rnacentral:misc_RNA from 1 species